rnacentral:lncRNA from 1 species
GACGGAUGCCUCCAAAGGGGGAGGAAUGUAGUAGCUGGUACAAAGUAUGGCACACGUAUCAACUACAAAUAUGCGUGAAGCGCUUCACCAACAUCUCAAGAGGCCUUUUCAGCGGCCAGCUAAUACACAUACCUACCAUACAUCGGUAAUGCAUUCCCCUACAAGCUCUUCUGAGAGUCCACGCUGAAACCAGAAAAUCCUAUCCCUUUCCGAGACUUCCGCGAUAGGUGUGAUUAGUAACUCAAAACGCGACUGAUAAGAAGAGACGUUCUCGCCAGAGUGCAUGCGAGAUGACCCACUAGCGAGAAUGGCACGUGCUUCUAAGUCAGGGGCAAAACCUCAGGAGUGAAACGGGCGAGUAGGGCUGUAAAUAGUUCGUGCCGUGGAACACUGAUCAUACCAAGCCUUGGCCGCACGUCCAACCCGUUGCCUAUGAACAGACAGUGCACCGGCUCCCAAUCUCUCCCCCUAAGCAGCUGUAGGUAUAACUUUACAUCCCGAACAAAGGCACGUGUACUCUCAGCAACCGUUCAUCCUAAAUCGCGCCCUACAAGUCUGAGGAGAAAUUCAGUCUGGGAACAGGAACAGAAAGUCUAAGUACCUCAGCAUCCUGAGCCGGUAAAAGAGCUGCUGCAGUGGCCGCAAGAGGAGCCAUUUCGCACUGUGGGCGGAAGAGGCUACGGGCAGUGGUGGCAGUGGAACAGCGGCAACAGGAGUGUGUUCCUGUCCUGCGUUGGAACAGCAAUAGGGACGGU